AGCAGCCGCGGUAAUUCCAGCUCCAAUAGCGUAUAUUAAAGUUGCUGCAGUUAAAAAGCUCGUAGUUGAAUUUCGGGAUCAAUUUGUUGGUCGUGCCUUGGUACGUACUAGCUUAUUGGUUUCUCCCUUCUGACGAACCAUGAUGUCAUUUAUUUGGUGUUGUGGGGAAUCAGGACUGUUACUUUGAAAAAUUAGAGUGUUUAAAGCAGGCUCACGCUUGAAUACAUUAGCAUGGAAUAAUGAAAUAGGACGUUUGAUUCUAUUUUGUUGGUUUCUAGGAUCGACGUAAUGAUUAAUAGGGAUAGUUGGGGGCAUUAGUAUUCAAUUGUCAGAGGUGAAAUUCUUGGAUUUAUUGAAGACUAACUACUGCGAAAGCAUUUGCCAAGGAUGUUUUCAUUAAUCAAGAACGAAAGUUAGGGGAUCGAAGACGAUCAGAUACCGUCGUAGUCUUAACCAUAAACUAUGCCGACUAGGGAUCGGAUGAUGUUAAUUUUUAAUGUACUCAUUCGGCGCCUUAAC
rnacentral:rRNA from 1 species